rnacentral:lncRNA from 10 species
ACAGAAGAAAGCAGAAUGUGAAGGUCAAUUGAACCACGUGAUGAAUUGGUUAAUUAUUACACAUUUCUGGAUCUAGAGUGAACCAAGGACAAAUCAUCCUGGUGCCUUUAACUUCUGCAGAGCAUGCUGAAAUGCCCUGACUCCAUUAAAGUGCCUGGCACCCCAUGGACCUUAAUAAAAUACUCUAGACAAACUGGCUAAUGGGUUGACUUUUGCCAUAGAUCUUAUUUGCCAAACUUCUAAACAUGCUUGCAUGCCUGGAGCUUUCC